UUAGAAGAUAUUUUAUGUAAAAUUUUAGCUUUGGGAGUUAAAGAAAGAGUUUUCUUCUUUUUAGGG
rnacentral:tRNA from 1 species